AACAUUGAUGUCCACAGGGGUAUGGCUCGGGUACGAGGAUAUUUUUCAAACCUUGGGUAUAUGGAUAUAUAGUAUAGUACUAUGUCCAAACUCUAUCCAUUGACAUCCCUACCUCCUUUGGUCUUAGUCGCGACUUAGUUUUUCUUUUUGGGGACACCUUCUCUAGACGAGGGGGUCGCUUCUUUCUUCCUAAUUCAUCUUGCAUCUUGUAAUCUUUAUUUCUUCCACGAUCAUCUUUUUGACCGACCCCCUGGGUAUAUUGGGUUAAAC
rnacentral:lncRNA from 1 species